rnacentral:rRNA from 1 species
AGUUUGAUCCUGGCUCAGAUUGAACGCUGGCGGCAGGCCUAACACAUGCAAGUCGAGCGGUAGAGAGAAGCUUGCUUCUCUUGAGAGCGGCGGACGGGUGAGUAAUGCCUAGGAAUCUGCCUGGUAGUGGGGGAUAACGUUCGGAAACGGACGCUAAUACCGCAUACGUCCUACGGGAGAAAGCAGGGGACCUUCGGGCCUUGCGCUAUCAGAUGAGCCUAGGUCGGAUUAGCUAGUUGGUGAGGUAAUGGCUCACCAAGGCGACGAUCCGUAACUGGUCUGAGAGGAUGAUCAGUCACACUGGAACUGAGACACGGUCCAGACUCCUACGGGAGGCAGCAGUGGGGAAUAUUGGACAAUGGGCGAAAGCCUGAUCCAGCCAUGCCGCGUGUGUGAAGAAGGUCUUCGGAUUGUAAAGCACUUUAAGUUGGGAGGAAGGGCAGUUACCUAAUACGUGAUUGUUUUGACGUUACCGACAGAAUAAGCACCGGCUAACUCUGUG